rnacentral:lncRNA from 1 species
AUCAAUAUCCACUACUGCCGGGGCAGCGUUUUUCUGGAUAACAUGGUACCUCGUGGAUUUUCCAUGCAUUGCUGAAAACUGGAGAUUCAGCAGUGGGCAGUGAAAAAGGCAGGCUGUGAAUGACAGCGGGAGACUCGCCCUUCAAAAAAGGGUGGUUUCUUCCCAGACAAAAUUUUUUGUCCAGUGAUAAGGGCAUACCCAGAAGGUCUCCACAGCACUUCAAACUCUGCUGUAAUAGGGGAGAGGGCAGAGUGUAUUACAGCAGCUCCCCCGGGUCCCUGGCUCCUUGCACUGUCAAGCAUCAGACAGGUAAAUUACAAUUUCACUUGUACAGAUGAACCUUUUCUGAGAAGGCUUUUCUUCAUUCCACAGCAGGAGCUGUGGCAGCAAUCAGAAUUAACCUAAAAUGCAAAGCUUUGAGGAUAUCAAAACUUCUCAAGGAUGUCAAAUGUCACAGUGUUGUCUUCACAGCUGGGCUGGAAAGAAAUUGGGGUUUAUAUCUGCAGGUGUCACUAGGAUUCCUCAACGUGAAUCCAGUCCACAAGGUCACGCAGGUCUGGAGCCAGAUGUGCUAUCCUGGGAAGCCAUCUAGAGGUUACCUCAUAUGAAAUAAGCCAUAUGAGCGUCACUGCAUAAUUGUAGUGUCAGGAGAGAGGGUUUUGAAGAGAAGAUGAAGCAUCCUCACUGGAAACUGUCUGCACAUGCUGUCAGAAUCAUAAUUUCUCUAGAAAUGCAGCUCGGGGAGGCACCUGGCAUUACAAUUUUCUUCUCAGUCCAACAGCUCUGGAGGGGAGAGAGAAAUUACCCAGAGAACGCAGUGUCUGGCUUAGACAGGAAUGACUCAGUGUCUGGACUGGGAACAAAUAUAACAACUUUCUGGUACGGAAAUAAAUGUUGAAAAGGAAAGGAUAUGAACUCCAUCGAAGUAUAUUUGCUUUUUUUUAUUCCUGAGUUCAGUCUCUUUGUGCUUAAAGCACCACAGACACAUUUAAAAUAGAAAAAUCAUCAGUAUUGCAGAGUUAACUUGUUUAGAUUUAAAAGAAAAUUAAUUAUUAAUGUAAAACAUUUGCAGGUCCUUUGAAGCCAGGGAGAAUGGAAUAAUCUUGUGAGCAUUUAUUUCAUGUGUCUAUUUCCAGCUUGAAUAAUAAUCUAAAUAUGUGUUUGAAGAGACUUUUUUUUAUUCAUUAUGAUUUUGACCUAUGUACAAAGUUGUUACCAAAUUUGGAU